rnacentral:rRNA from 1 species
UGACCUCGGAUCAGGUAGGGAUACCCGCUGAACUUAAGCAUAUCAAUAAGACGGAGGA